UACAGAGGGUGCGAGCGUUAAUCGGAAUUACUGGGCGUAAAGGGCGCGUAGGUGGAUAGCGAAGUCGGAUGUGAAAUCCCCGGGCUUAACCUGGGAAUGGCAUUUGGGACUGCAAGGCUUGAGUGCGGCAGAGGAGACUGGAAUUCCUGGUGUAGCAGUGAAAUGCGUAGAUAUCAGGAGGAACACCGAUGGCGAAGGCAGGUCUCUGGGCUGACACUGACGCUCAUGCACGAAAGCGUGGGGAGCAAACAGG
rnacentral:rRNA from 1 species